CACAAGGAUGAAAAUUAAAAUAUUAGAAAGUCCAUUGCCAGAAUUUGUAACUCUUGUGUUGUCCUCUGUCUAUACAGUAUAUGCUUUCCA